GCGUAGGUAGUAUAAUGGUUAUUAUUUCGGUUUCCCAUCGGAUGACCCGGAUUACCGGAGAUGGUACCGAAGAACUGAGUUCGAUUCUCGGCCUACGCA